rnacentral:lncRNA from 1 species
AGCUUUCUCUACUUGAAAGUUGGAUCACUUCCAACUUUCUCUUUCCUUUUCAUUAAUUUCAUUUUCCUUUUCCAUAAUUAUUUAGGAGAAUACAAAGGGUUUCCUUCUCCUACAUUAAAUAGAAUUCAAAUUACCUAUUUAAACACACUCUAACUAAUUAAAGAAGUUAAGAUUGUAAAGAAGAAACACACAUAGCUCCA